rnacentral:lncRNA from 1 species
ACCCAGUAGACAGAGUAGACAGAAAUUAACUUGUAACUGAUUCUUUUUGGACUUUGAAUGAGCUGAGAGGCAAACAUUGCUUGAAAAAGGCUGUCCAGGUGCUGCAGCCCAUCCAUCUGCUGAAUGUUGCCAAGUAACAGCCAUCCAUGGAACAUGGAAAAAUGAAUUCACCCGGCCAGGCCCAAAUUGUCGACCCACAGAACAUGAGAUGCAGAAGCUCUAACCAAGGAUUCCUAGAGAGAAAGAGUAGAGCCAUGAGACGAAGGGAGCCUGGGUCCCUAAAUCACCAUGUCGGAGCUCUUCAGCGAAAAGCUGACGCUGAGCUGCUACGUGAGCAAGAGACACCUUGCCCAGCUAUAGUGCAGUAAUAUCAUCAUGGCUCACUGCAAUCUCGACUUCUCCAGCUCAAACAAUCCUCCCACCUCAGCCUCCCAAGCAGUUGGGACUACAGGCACGUGUCAUUACACCCAGACAGGGUAUCACUCUGUUGCCCAGGUUGGAUUCCAGUGGCAUGAUCAUGGCUCAGUGCAGUCUCGACUUCUGGGGUUCAAGCGAUUCCCCCAUCUCAGCCUCCUCAGUGGCUAGGAUCACAGGUAUACACCACCAUACCCAGAGUCAUGCAGGGUGAGCCAUUCUUGCCACUGAGAAGUAUGUCAUAUCUGAGAACAACUGACCCAGAUAAUUGCUCAGUAAGAGUAUAUUUGAGAUUAUUGAAGACUUAAAAGCAUCUCAUUAUUAAAUGUGCUAUAUCAUGUUUUUCACUUUAGGCUCCAAGUGUUUUUGACUUGAUAAAGUUUUGUUGUGUUAAUUUUGAUCACUUUAAUCUUUUAUUGGAUCAUUUUCCCACAUUAAAUUUAAAUAGGAAGAACAUAUGUACUGCUGUUUUGCCAUAAACUCUGAUGUGCCUCAACUGGCUUCCAACUUCAGUCUGUUCUGGAAGGCUGUACUUACAGGUCUCAGCCAGCAAGCUGAAACUGACAAAGGAGCGUUCCACUUCUCUGCUGUAAAAGUUGUACUUACCUUGUUUUCAUGAAACCAAUCUCCGUUUCCAAGGAAACAAGAACAAAAAGGCAGUUGGCAGCUAGCAUCUGGGACUUAGAAGAACUCUCACAUGUCAAUUUCAACUGCUGGCUGCCGGCUCAAACGUAAAGAUGUGGGGUAUUAAAAUCACCUUCAGACUUGUAACGUACAAAAGAAUAUUAAGGUUUUUUCCUUAGUGUUUAAAUAAUCAAGUUUAAUAGCAAACCAUUUAAAAUAUCCUUUGAAAUACUAUAACAAAUAUUAUAAUUGUUAAAAAUUAUCUAAUACAAAAACUUGUUUUAUUUAAAAACAGUAGGCACAUAUAUUGCAGAUAUUUUCUCAGUUUUACACCAUAAAUUUUUGCCACUUUUCCCCUUUUACUUAAUCAUUUCACUUUCUCCUUUUUAAAUAAUGAUUCAUAUGGUCCCAACUACUUACUCCUUUCUCUUUUCUUUUUUUUUUUUUUUUUUUUUUGAUUCAUGCAAAAUAUCCAGAUAGUGUCUGUUUUAUCCGUAAAGCUUUGUGGCCAUGUUUAGUGUUUUAAUAAAGUGUUUUAAUGAUGAAACAUGAAAAUGCACAUUGUCAUUUUUCUCUUAAAAAUAUAAUUUCAUGAUUCUAGGCUUGGACACCUACAUUAACACAACCUGCU